GGAGAAUAGGUCUUAGAUCCUAGGCAGGGAUUUCUACAGCAGAGAUAUAUUAAAGGGGCAGUGAAUAUCCAGGUGGCCAUAUGAGUUGACACAAAUGGAAGAAUUGAAGAGAGUGGGCCUGAUUCCAAAGUGGUACCAUUUGCACCAGAGUAUACACGGAGCAAUCACCUUGCUGCUCAUCAUCAUUCACCCAGCAACUAAACCAGGCUCUCGUUCAUCGUAGUGAAAAGUGCCCGAGCCUCUGAAUAAUCAGAGUAACGUGGUGGAGUAUUUAGCAGAGCAGGAGUCCAUAACAACAGUAGGUUUAAAGCACACAAAAGGAGAUUUUUCAGGAAGAAAUUUUUCACUUAGAGGGUGGAGAGGCCCUGGCACAGGUUUCCCAGAGAAGCUGUGGCUGCCCUAUCACUGGAGGUGUUCAAGGCCAGGUGGGAUGGGGCCCUGGCCAACCUGAUCUAGCAGGAAGCAUCCCUGUCCAUGGCAGGGGGUUAGAACCAGAUGAACUUUAAGGUCCCUUCUAACUGAAGUCAUUCUGUGAUUUCAUUAUUGAUUUCACCAAAUAUCAUAUUUUAAAUUUGCCAGAAGAGGAUGUGGAUAUGAAAUAUUUUAAGUGAUUUGGAAAGACCAAAUAAAUCCAUGGAAAAUAAACAUUUUAAGGAUUAAGGAACAUGCAGGAACCACCCAUUGCAUAGGAUACUUGGGCAGGCAUAUUCAGGGGAGUGAAUCCUCACUUUGUGCAGGGGCCUCCUGAGCUU
rnacentral:lncRNA from 1 species